rnacentral:rRNA from 1 species
ACCCGUUCAGUAACACGUGGACAACCUACCCUUAGGUCCCGGGAUAAACCCGGGAAACUGGGUAUAAUAACCCGAUAGUCCUCGACUGCUGGAAUGCAUCGAGUGCUAAAGCUCCGGCGCCUAAGGAUGGGUCUGCGGCCUAUCAGGUAGUAGUGGGUGUAGCGUACCUACUAGCCUACGACGGGUACGGGUUGUGAGAGCAAGAGCCCGGAGAUGGAUUCUGAGACACGAAUCCAGGCCCUACGGGGUGCAGCAGGCGCGAAAACUUUUACAAUGCUGGAAACAGCGAUAAGGGGACCUCGAGUGCCAGGUUACAAAUCUGGCUGUCGUGAUGCCUAAAAAGCAUUGCAUAGCAAGGGCCGGGCAAGACCGGUGCCAGCCGCCGCGGUAACACCGGCGGCUCGAGUGGUAACCGUUAUUAUUGGGUCUAAAGGGUCUGUAGCCGGCCGGAUAAGUCUCUUGGGAAAUCUGGCAGCUUAACUGUCAGGCUUUCAGGAGAUACUGUCUGGCUCGAGGCCGGGAGAGGUGAGAGGUACUUCAGGGGUAGGGGUGAAAUCUUGUAAUCCUUGAAGGACCACCAGUGGCGAAGGCGUCUCACCAGAACGGACCUGACGGCAAGGGACGAAAGCUAGGGGCACGAACCGGAUUAGAUACCCGGGUAGUCCUAGCCGUAAACGAUACUCGCUAGGUGUCGGCCACGGUGCGACCGUGGUCGGUGCCGUAGGGAAGCCGUGAAGCGAGCCACCUGGGAAGUGCGGCCGCAAGGCUGAAACUUAAAGGAAUUGGCGGGGGAGCAG